rnacentral:rRNA from 1 species
UAACGCGUAAAGAACUUGCCUCACAGCUAGGGACAACAUUUAGAAAUGAAUGCUAAUACCUGAUAUUAUGGUUUUAAGGCAUCUUAGAAUUAUGAAAGCUAUAAGCACUGUGAGAGAGCUUUGCGUCCCAUUAGCUAGUUGGAGAGGUAACAGCUCACCAAGGCGAUGAUGGGUAGCCGGCCUGAGAGGGUGAACGGCCACAAGGGGACUGAGACACGGCCCUU